GAUGAACGCUGGCGGCGUGCCUAAUACAUGCAAGUCGAGCGAAUGGAUUAAGAGCUUGCUCUUAUGAAGUUAGCGGCGGACGGGUGAGUAACACGUGGGUAACCUGCCCAUAAGACUGGGAUAACUCCGGGAAACCGGGGCUAAUACCGGAUAACAUUUUGAACCGCAUGGUUCGAAAUUGAAAGGCGGCUUCGGCUGUCACUUAUGGAUGGACCCGCGUCGCAUUAGCUAGUUGGUGAGGUAACGGCUCACCAAGGCAACGAUGCGUAGCCGAGAGGCGAGGGUGAUCGGCCACACUGGGACUGAGACACGGCCCAGACUCCUACGGGAGGCAGCAGUAGGGAAUCUUCCGCAAUGGACGAAAGUCUGACGGAGCAACGCCGCGUAAGUGAUGAAGGCUUUCGGGUCGUACAACUCUGUUGUUAGGGAAGAAAAAGUGCUAGUUGAAUAAGCUGGCACCUUGACGGUACCUAACCAGAAAGCCACGGCUAACUACGUGCCAGACGCCGCCGUAA
rnacentral:rRNA from 1 species